rnacentral:lncRNA from 1 species
GGGGCUGUAAACUACCAACAACAUCACAUGAGCUCCAUUGGAUAGAAAUAAAUCUUAUGUAAAUGAAUAUCAAUACAUGUAGAUGUUAACUUCGGGUUGACAAUUGACAAAAUCUCUAUGCAAAGUCUGUGGCUAUUGGAAAAUUUAGUUGUUAUAAGAACCCUUCAAAAUAAGCCCAAGUUCAUCUUUUAUUUCACAUUUGAAUGUUCCAAAAUCCACCAUUUUAUACAUGUACAUGUGUAUGUGAACUUGCAUAAGGUGGAUUUCUGUCUGAUGCAGUUCAUAUGUUAUGUUAUAUAACUCAAUUUGUUUCACUUUACAUUGAACCCCUCAGAAUACUUUAAAAACACUUAAAUUUCAUAUAAUUUAUAAAAUUUUAUCAAAUGCUUUCAAAGGUCAUGUGCAAUUAUUCUUUCGAAUUGUUUUGUCAGGUUUUCCUGGUUCAUAACUUUUAACCUUUCCAUCAUCCAAGAAAUAAAUGAAACGUUCUGGCUUUGGUGUAAGAGGUUACAAACUAUAUAUAUAUCAACUUUUGAACUAGACUGAGUAGACAGGAAUUCAAUAACAAUUAACAAAAAAAUGCAAAUUUUAUUUUUGAAACAUGAAUCAUGACCAUUAUUUUUUUACUUUAAUUUUAGUUUUUUUUUUUUAGUAUAAUUUCGGAGUUUGGUAUGACAUCCAUUGUCACUGAACCAUUAAUGUACUUAUUUCUUUGGGGGCUGCUGAAGGACUCCUCCGGGUGUGGAAGUUUCUGGCUGUGUUGAAGACCCAUUGGUGGCUUUUGGCUGUUGUCUAUGUCUCUUUGACACAUUCCCAAUUUCCAUUCUCAAUUUUAUGGUUAAAAUAAAGAUUGACAGACAGUUACAUGUAUGUCAGUCUCAGUGGGUUUAAAAGGAUCUGGACACCAUCCAUUCUACUUUCUGUUUUUACAAACGACCUUCCAGGCCCUCAAGGUUAAGUCAGAAUGAUACAACCUUCAAAAAUUUGAAGGCAGACAUUUCAAUAGGGCCAUUGCUCAUUGUUGAAAGCCUUACGGUGACCUAUAGUUGUUGAUUUUUGUGUCAUUUGGUCUUUGUGAAGAAUUGUCACAUUGGCAAUCAUACCAAAUAUUCUUUUUUAUAAUUCAAACGUUGAUAAAAAAAUAUGUUGUAAUUACUAAUUAAAACAGAAAGUAGGACAGAAUUUUGUGAGAUCCUUGUAAGUGUAGAUACAGGAUCUGUGUUUUAAAUAGAUUGAGUCAUAACUGGACAACCAUGGAUUGAACUAAACUAAACUACUUAUAAACUUUCCUUUAAGUGUCAGAUCUUAGUGAUAACUUUCACUAGCAUUAGCAAUGUCAGAUCUUGGUAAUUAUUCAUCAGCAUUAACAAGUGUCAGAUCUUGGUGAUAAUUUCUACCAGCAUUAACAGUGUCAGAUCAGCUUUAUAAUGUGGUGAUAAU